rnacentral:rRNA from 1 species
CACUCCUAACAGCUAGCCCAACCACCAAAAUUCAACAACCACCAUCAAUAACCCCGAACCCCCGUUUACUAUUUAACAAACCAUUUUCCCCCCUUAGUAUGGGAGACAGAAAAGGACCAAGGAGCUAUAGAAAAAGUACCGCAAGGGAAAGCUGAAAGAGAAAUGAAAAAACGCAGUAAAGAACAAAAAAGCAGAGAUCAAACCUCGUACCUUUUGCAUCAUGAAUUAGCCAGUCAACCCAAGCAAAGAGCCUCUUUAUGUUUGAGACCCCGAAACUAAGCGAGCUACUCCAAGACAGCCUAUUAUAAGGGCAAACCCGUCUCUGUGGCAAAAGAGUGGGAAGAUCUUUGAGUAGAGGUGACAGACCUACCGAGCCUAGUUAUAGCUGGUUGCCUGAGAAAUGAAUAGAAGUUCGACCUUUUACAUUCUUUAAUCCAGAAAGGUUUUACCAAGCCCCGAUGAUAAGAAAAGCAAAAGAGCAAUUCAAGGGAGGGACAGCUCCCCUGAAAAAAGAUACAACUUUUAAUAGGAGGUAAAAGAUAAUAUAAAGAAAGGCAGUGUACCCAGGUGGGCCUAAAAGCAGCCAUCCUAACAGAAAGCGUUAAAGCUUAAGUACUUAACCCCUUUAAUUCCUAGCACACACUCUUACACCCCUAAAACCUAUCAGGCCACUCCAUGCACCCAUGGAAAAGAAACUGCUAAUAUGAGUAAUAAGAAAGCAAAGACUUUCUCCAAUGCACCCGUGUAAUCAGAACAGACUCUAACUGAAAAUUAACGCCCCCAACUAAAGAGGACACAGGGGACAAACAAAAGGAAGCCUAGAAAACCACCCUAUCUACAGCGUUAACCCCACACAGGAGUGCUAAAGGAAAGACACAAAGAAAAAGAAGGAACUCGGCAAACACUAGCCUCGCCUGUUUACCAAAAACAUCGCCUCUUGCAUACUACAGUAUAAGAGGUCCCGCCUGCCCUGUGACGAGAGUUUAACGGCCGCGGUAUUUUGACCGUGCGAAGGUAGCGUAAUCACUUGUCUUUUAAAUAGAGACCUGUAUGAAUGGCAUAACGAGGGCUAAGCUGUCUCCUUUUUCUAGUCAAUGAAAUUGAUCUACCCGUGCAGAAGCGGGUAUAAACACAUAAGACGAGAAGACCCUAUGGAGCUUAAAACACAAAGGCAGACUACAUUAAAAACCCCCAAUAAAAGGGACAUAAACAAGUACCCACUGCCUUAAUGUUUUUGGUUGGGGCGACCGCGGGGAAACAACAAACCCCCACGUGGAACGGGAUCACACUCCCUAAAGCCAGAGCCACAGCUCUAACAAACAGAAAUUCUGACCAUCAAGAUCCGGCAAAGCCGAUCAACGGACCGAGUUACCCUAGGGAUAACAGCGCAAUCCCCUUCUAGAGCCCAUAUCGACAAGGGGGUUUACGACCUCGAUGUUGGAUCAGGACAUCCUAAUGGUGCAGCCGCUAUUAAGGGUUC